rnacentral:rRNA from 1 species
UACGGAGGAUGCAAGCGUUAUCCGGAAUGAUUGGGCGUAAAGCGUGCGCAGGCGGUUGUGCAAGACAGAUGUGAAAUCCCCGGGCUCAACCUGGGAAUUGCAUUUGUGACUGCACGGCUAGAGUGUGUCAGAGGGGGGUAGAAUUCCACGUGUAGCAGUGAAAUGCGUAGAGAUGUGGAGGAAUACCGAUGGCGAAGGCAGCCCCCUGGGAUAACACUGACGCUCAUGCACGAAAGCGUGGGGAGCAAACAGG